UAGGGAAUCUUCGGCAAUGGGGGCAACCCUGACCGAGCAACGCCGCGUGAGUGAAGAAGGUUUUCGGAUCGUAAAGCUCUGUUGUAAGUCAAGAACGGGUGUGAGAUGGAAAGUUCACACUGUGACGGUAGCUUACCAGAAAGGGACGGCUAACUACGUGCCAGCAGCCGCGGUAAUACGUAGGUCCCGAGCGUUGUCCGGAUUUAUUGGGCGUAAAGCGAGCGCAGGC
rnacentral:rRNA from 1 species